rnacentral:misc_RNA from 1 species
GAUGAAGAACGUAGCGAAAUGCGAUAAGUAAUGUGAAUUGCAGAAUUCAGUGAAUCAUCGAAUCUUUGAACGCACCUUGCGCCCUUUGGCUAUUCUGAAGGGCAUGCCUGUUUGAGUAUCAUGAACACCUCAACUCUCAUGGUUUGCCAUGAUGAGCUUGGACUUUGGGGGUCUUGCUGGCCUACGGUCAGCUCCUCUCAAAUGAAUCAGCUUGCCAGUGUUUGGUAGAGUCGCAGGUGUGAUAACUAUCUACGCUUGUGGUUUUCUGCCAGAUAACCUUCAGUGAUGGAGGUUCGCUGGAGCUUAUAAAUGUCUCUCCCCAGUGAGGACAGCUUUUUGAACGUUUGAUCUCAAAUCAGGUAGGACUACCCGCUGAACUUAAGCAUAGCAAUAAGCGGAGGA